rnacentral:rRNA from 1 species
AUUGAACGCUGGCGGCAUGCCUUACACAUGCAAGUCGAACGGCAGCACGGGGCAACCUGGUGGCGAGUGGCGAACGGGUGAGUAAUGCCUCGGAACGUACCUUUCAGUGGGGGAUAACGUAGCGAAAGUUACGCUAAUACCGCACAUUCUGUGAGCAGGAAAGCAGGGGAUCGCAAGACCUUGCGCUGAUUGAGCGGCCGAUGUCAGAUUAGCUAGUGGGUGAGGUAAAUGCUAACCAAGGCGACGAUCUGUAGCGGGUCUGAGAGGAGGAUCCGCACCACUGGAACUGAGACACUGUCACGACUACUACGAGAGGCAGAAGUGGGGAAUUUUGGACGAUGGGGGCAACCCUGAUCCAGACAUGCCGCGUGAGUGAAGAAGGCCUUCGGGUUGUAAAGCUCUUUCGGCCGGGAAGAAAUCGCACGGGCUAAUACCCUGUGUUGAUGACGGUACCGGAAUAAGAAGCACCGGCUAACUACGUGCCAGCAGCCGCAGUAACAC